AUUGAACGCUGGCGGCAUGCCUUACACAUGCAAGUCGAACGGCAGCACGGGAGCUUGCUCCUGGUGGCGAGUGGCGAACGGGUGAGUAAUGCAUCGGAACGUGCCCUGAAGUGGGGGAUAACGUAGCGAAAGUUACGCUAAUACCGCAUAUUCUGUGAGCAGGAAAGCAGGGGAUCUUCGGACCUUGCGCUUUUGGAGCGGUCGAUGUCGGAUUAGCUAGUUGGUGGGGUAAAGGCCCACCAAGGCGACGAUCCGUAGCGGGUCUGAGAGGAUGAUCCGCCACACUGGAACUGAGACACGGUCCAGACUCCUACGGAGGCAGCAGUGGGGAAUUUUGGACAAUGGGCGCAAGCCUGAUCCAGCCAUGCCGCGUGAGUGAAGAAGGCCUUCGGGUU
rnacentral:rRNA from 1 species